CCAGGGAACUGAAACAUCUAAGUACCUGGAGGAAGAGAAAGCAAAUGCGAUUUCCUGAGUAGCGGCGAGCGAAACGGAACAUAGCCCAAACCAAGAGGCUUGCCUCUUGGGGUUGUAGGACAUUCUAUACGGAGUUACAAAGGAACGAGGUAGACGAAGCGACCUGGAAAGGUCCGUCGUAGAGGGUAACAACCCCGUAGUCGAAACUUCGUUCUCUCUUGAAUGUAUCCUGAGUACGGCGGAACACGUGAAAUUCCGUCGGAAUCUGGGAGGACCAUCUCCCAAGGCUAAAUACUCCCUAGUGAUCGAUAGUGAACCAGUACCGUGAGGGAAAGGUGAAAAGCACCCCGGAAGGGGAGUGAAAGAGAUCCUGAAACCGUGUGCCUACAAAUAGUCAGAGCCCGUUAACGGGUGAUGGCGUGCCUUUUGUAGAAUGAACCGGCGAGUUACGAUCCCGUGCGAGGUUAAGCUGAAGAGGCGGAGCCGCAGCGAAAGCGAGUCUGAAUAGGGCGUUUAGUACGUGGUCGUAGACCCGAAACCAGGUGAUCUACCCAUGUCCAGGGUGAAGUUCAGGUAACACUGAAUGGAGGCCCGAACCCACGCACGUUGAAAAGUGCGGGGAUGAGGUGUGGGUAGCGGAGAAAUUCCAAUCGAACCUGGAGAUAGCUGGUUCUCCCCGAAAUAGCUUUAGGGCUAGCCUUAAGUGUAAGAGUCUUGGAGGUAGAGCACUGAUUGGACUAGGGGUCCUCAUCGGAUUACCGAAUUCAGUCAAACUCCGAAUGCCAAUGACUUAUCCUUAGGAGUCAGACUGCGAGUGAUAAGAUCCGUAGUCAAAAGGGAAACAGCCCAGACCGCCAGCUAAGGUCCCAAAGUGUGUAUUAAGUGGAAAAGGAUGUGGAGUUGCUUAGACAACUAGGAUGUUGGCUUAGAAGCAGCCACCAUUUAAAGAGUGCGUAAUAGCUCACUAGUCGAGUGACUCUGCGCCGAAAAUGUACCGGGGCUAAAUACACCACCGAAGCUGC
rnacentral:rRNA from 1 species